UAUUGUGUUCGAGAGAUUUUU
rnacentral:piRNA from 1 species